GAUGAACGCUAGCGGCAGGCCUAACACAUGCAAGUCGAGGGGUAGCAGGAUUAAGCUUGCUUAAUUGCUGACGACCGGCGCACGGGUGCGUAACGCGUAUGCAACCUACCUUAUACUGGGGUAUAGCCCGGAGAAAUUCGGAUUAAUCCCCCAUAGUACUAAUGAAUCGCAUGGUUUAUUAGUUAAAGCAUUGCGGUAUAAGAUGGGCAUGCGUCCUAUUAGCUAGAUGGUGAGGUAACGGCUCACCAUGGCUACGAUAGGUAGGGGGCCUGAGAGGGUGGUCCCCCACACUGGUACUGAGACACGGACCAGACUCCUACGGGAGGCAGCAGUGAGGAAUAUUGGUCAAUGGGCGCAAGCCUGAACCAGCCAUGCCGCGUGCAGGAAGAAUGCCCUAUGGGUUGUAAACUGCUUUUAUUUGGGAAUAAACCUCUUUACGUGUAGAGAGCUGAAGGUACCAAAUGAAUAAGCACCGGCUAACUCCGUGCCAGCCGCCGCCGUAA
rnacentral:rRNA from 1 species